rnacentral:ncRNA from 1 species
UUGACAGUCCAAACACCACCUGCCUCCGUGAGAUACACGGGGUGAGGUCUUCGCCGCUUGCGGUCAUAUUUCGGAGCACUGAUAUAUGGGGAGAGGAGACCUGCGAUUCGUUCGCUUGAUGACGUGGUACGUUGGACAU